UUUCCGUAGGUGAACCUGCGGAAGGAUCAUUACUGAGUGAGGGCCCCUCGGGGUCCAACCUCCCACCCGUGUUUAACGAACCUUGUUGCUUCGGCGGGCCCGCCUCACGGCCGCCGGGGGGCAUCUGCCCCCGGGCCCGCGCCCGCCGAAGCCACCUGUGAACGCUGUCUGAAGUAUGCAGUUUGAGACAAUUAUUAAAUUAAUUAAAACUUUCAACAACGGAUCUCUUGGUUCCG
rnacentral:misc_RNA from 1 species